rnacentral:rRNA from 1 species
AUCCUGGCUCAGGAUGAACGCUGGCGGCGUGCUUAACACAUGCAAGUCGAACGGAGAACCUCAGAUCGAGUUUUCGGACAAGUGAUGGGAAUUCUUAGUGGCGGACGGGUGAGUAACGCGUGAGGAACCUGCCUCGGAGAGGGGAAUAACACAGAGAAAUUUGUGCUAAUACCGCAUAAUGCAGUUGGGUCGCAUGGCUCUGACUGCCAAAGAUUUAUCGCUCUGAGAUGGCCUCGCGUCUGAUUUAGCUGGUUGGCGGGGUAACGGCCCCACCAAGGCGACGAUCAGUAGCCGGACUGAGAGGUUUGGCCGGCCACAUUGGGACUGAGACACGGCCCAGACUCCUACGGGAGGCAGCAGUGGGGAAUAUUGGGCAAUGGGCGCAAGCCUGACCCAGCAACGCCGCGUGAAGGAAGAAGGCUUUCGGGUUGUAAACUUCUUUAUGAGGGACGAAAAGUGACGGUACCUCAUGAAUAAGCUCCGGCUAACUACGUGCC